rnacentral:rRNA from 1 species
UAAGAUUUGAUUCAUGGCUCAGGACGAACGCUGGCGGCGUGCUAAUCCAUGCAAGUCGAGCGAACAGAGAAGGGAGCUUGCUCUUYGACGUUAGCGGCGGACGGGUGAGUAACACGKGGGCAACCUACCUUAUAGUUUGGGAUAACUCCGGGAAACCGGGGCUAAUACGAAUAAUCUGUUUCACCUCAUGGUGAAACACUAAAGACGGUUUCGGCUGUCGCUAUAGGAGGGCCCGCGGCGCAUAGUAGUGGGAGGUAACGGCUCACCAAGGCGACGAUGCGUAGCCGCCUGAGAGGGUGAUCGSCCMCACUGGGACUGAGACACGGCCCAGAUCUACGGGAGGCACAGUAGGGAUCUUCCACAAUGGGGAAAGCCUGAUGGAGCAACGCCGCGUGAGUGAAGAAGGAUUUCGGUUGUAAAACUCUGUUGUAAGGGAAGAMCAAGUACAGUAGUAACUGGCUGUACCUUGACGGUACCUUAUUAGAAAGCCACGGCUAACUACGUGCCAGCAGCCGCGGUAAUACGUAGGUGGCAAGCGUUGUCCGGAAUUAUUGGGCGUAAAGCGCGCGCAGGUGGUUUCUUAAGUCUGAUGUGAAAGCCCACGGCUCAACCGUGGAGGGUCAUUGGAAACUGGGAGACUUGAGUGCAGAAGAGGAUAGUGGAAUUCCAAGUGUAGCGGUGAAAUGCGUAGAGAUUGGAGGAACACCAGUGGCGAAGGCGACUAUCUGGUCUGUAACUGACACUGAGGCGCGAAAGCGUGGGGAGCAAACAGGAUUAGAUACCCUGGUAGUCCACGCCGUAAACGAUGAGUGCUAAGUGUUAGGGGGUUUCCGCCCCUUAGUGCUGCAGCUAACGCAUUAAGCAUCCCGCCCU